rnacentral:tRNA from 1 species
AAAGGCUUAGUUAAAAAAUAACGUUAAUUUGUCAAAUUAGAAUCACUUAAAAGUAACCUUUA